rnacentral:rRNA from 1 species
UUAAAAAGCUCGUAGUUGGAUUUCGGAAGGUCUUUAGCAGUCCGCCCCUUCGGGGAGCGGGUUGCUGGCCUCCUAUGUUCCUAACGGUCCUCAUCCGCGAGGGUGGGGAAUCAACCGCUAGGAUCGUUUACUUUGAGGAAAUUAGAGUGUUCAAAGCAGGCGUAACUCGCCUCCGAAUACGUUAGCAUGGGAUAAUGGAAUACGACUUCGGUCUUGUUUCGUUGGUUUCGCUUGGCUGAAGUAAUGAUUGAUAGGGACAGUUGGGGGCAUUAGUAUUUAGUUGUCAGAGGUGAAAUUCUAGGAUUUACUAAAGACUGACCAAUGCGAAAGCAUUUGCCAAGGAUGUUUUCAUUAAUCAAGAACGAAAGUAGGGGGAUCGAAGACGAUCAGAUACCGUCGUAGUCUCUACCGUAAACUAUGCCGACCAGGGAUCCGGAGAGUUUGCAUGGAUGACUCCCCGGGCACCUUGUGAGAAAUCAUAAGUGUUUGGGUUUUGGGGGGAGUAUGGUCGCAAGGCUGAAACUUAAAGGAAUUGACGGAAGGGCACCA